GAUGAAGAACGUAGCGAAAUGCGAUAAGUAGUGUGAAUUGCAGAAUUCAGUGAAUCAUCGAAUCUUUGAACGCACAUUGCGCCCCUUGGUAUUCCAUGGGGCAUGCCUGUUCGAGCGUCAUUUGUACCUUCAAGCUCUGCUUGGUGUUGGGUGUUUGUCUCGCCUCUGCGUGUAGACUCGCCUCAAAACAAUUGGCAGCCGGCGUAUUGAUUUCGGAGCGCAGUACAUCUCGCGCUUUGCACUCAUAACGACGACGUCCAAAAGUACAUUUUUACACUCUUGACCUCGGAUCAGGUAGGGAUACCCGAUGAACUUAAGCAUAUCAAUAAGCGGAGGA
rnacentral:misc_RNA from 1 species